rnacentral:rRNA from 1 species
GACGAACGCUGGCGGCGUGCUUAACACAUGCAAGUCGAACGGAAAGGCCCUGCUUUUGUGGGGUGCUCGAGUGGCGAACGGGUGAGUAACACGUGAGUAACCUGCCCUUGACUUUGGGAUAACUUCAGGAAACUGGGGCUAAUACCGGAUAGGAGCUCCUGCUGCAUGGUGGGGGUUGGAAAGUUUCGGCGGUUGGGGAUGGACUCGCGGCUUAUCAGCUUGUUGGUGGGGUAGUGGCUUACCAAGGCUUUGACGGGUAGCCGGCCUGAGAGGGUGACCGGCCACAUUGGGACUGAGAUACGGCCCAGUCUCCUACGGGAGGCAGCGGUGGGGAAUAUUGCACAAUGGGCGGAAGCCUGAUGCAGCAACGCCGCGUGCGGGAUGACGGCCUUCGGGUUGUAAACCGCUUUCGCCUGUGACGAAGCGUGAGUGACGGUAAUGGGUAAAGAAGCACCGGCUAACUACGCG